rnacentral:rRNA from 1 species
UACGGAGGGUGCAAGCGUUAUCCGGAUUCACUGGGCUUAAAGGGUGCGUAGGCGGGCCCGUAAGUCAGUGGUGAAAUCUCCGGGCUUAACCCGGAAACUGCCAUUGAUACUAUUUGUCUUGAAUACUGUGGAGGUCAGCGGAAUAUGUCAUGUAGCGGUGAAAUGCUUAGAUAUGACAUAGAACACCAAUUGCGAAGGCAGCUGGCGGCGCAAAUAUUGACACUGAGGCGCGAAAGCGUGGGGAGCAAACAGG